GCCUGGCUAGCUCAGUUGGUAGAGCAUGAGACUCUUAAUCUCAGAGUCACGGGUUUUGCUUUAUGUUGGGCA
rnacentral:tRNA from 1 species